GCGACAAGCGGUGGAGCAUGUGGUUUAAUUCGAUGAUACGCGAGGAACCGUUACCUGGGCUCAAAUGUAUGUUGACGUAUUCUGAAAGGGAUACUUCUUCGGACAAUAUACAAGGUGCUGCAUGGUUGUCGUCAGCUCGUGCCGUGAGGUGUCGGGUUAAGUCCCAUAACGAGCGCAACCCUAUCAUUAGUUGCCAUCAGGUCAAGCUGGGGACUCUAAUGAAACUGCCUACGCAAGUAGUGAGGAAGGUGGGGAUGACGUCAAAUCAGCACGGCCCUUACGUCCAGGGCUACACACGUGCUACAAUGGCCGGUACAAAGGGCAGCUACCUGGUGACAGGAUGCUAAUCUCCAAAGUCGGUCUCAGUUCGGAUCGGAGUCUGCAACCCGACUCCGUGAAGUUGGAUUCGCUAGUAAUCGCGCAUCAGCCAUGGCGCGGUGAAUACGUUCCCGGGCCUU
rnacentral:rRNA from 1 species